UACGAGGGGGGCGAGCGUUGUUCGGAAUUAUUGGGCGUAAAGGGUGCGUAGGCGGUUCCGCAAGUCCUGUGUGAAAUCUUCGGGCUCAACUCGAAGUCUGCACGGGAAACUGCGGGGCUAGAGUGCGGUAGAGGGUAGUGGAAUUCCCGGUGUAGCAGUGAAAUGCGUAGAGAUCGGGAGGAACACCAGUGGCGAAGGCGGCUACCUGGACCAGCACUGACACUGAAGCACGAAAGCGUGGGGAGCAAACAGG
rnacentral:rRNA from 1 species